UGGGGAAUAUUGCACAAUGGGCGCAAGCCUGAUGCAGCCAUGCCGCGUGUAUGAAGAAGGCCUUCGGGUUGUAAAGUACUUUCAGCGGGGAGGAAGGGAGUAAAGUUAAUACCUUUGCUCAUUGACGUUACCCGCAGAAGAAGCACCGGCUAACUCCGUGCCAGCAGCCGCGGUAAUACGGAGGGUGCAAGCGUUAAUCGGAAUUACUGGGCGUAAAGCGCACGCAGGCGGUUUGUUAAGUCAGAUGUGAAAUCCCCGGGCUCAACCUGGGAACUGCAUCUGAUACUGGCAAGCUUGAGUCUCGUAGAGGGGGGUAGAAUUCCAGGUGUAGCGGUGAAAUGCGUAGAGAUCUGGAGGAAUACCGGUGGCGAAGGCGGCCCCCUGUACGAAGACUGACGCUCAGGUGCGAAAGCGUGGGGAGCAAACA
rnacentral:rRNA from 1 species